AUGUUAGUGGUAGAUCCGGUGCUUGUUAUGGCAAUUAGUAACAAUCAACGGUAUCGUGACUCUGCCUGAAGGAAUAGAGCCUUUGGUGUUAUGGCAAUCUGAAGAAUCCGGAGAGGAGUGUGUGACUUCUAUCUUGAUAGUGGUAGAUCCGGUGCUUGUUCGUUUCCUCCAUCCUCAUCAACGAGUGUUGACUUGGGAAAACUAUUGGGAGCUGAUGAUAUGGGUUUGGGGAAGACUUUACAGUCAAUCGCAUUACUGUAUACUCUUCUUCGGCAGGGAUUUGAUGGAGAGCCCAUGGCUAAAAAGGCAAUAAUUGUCACUCCUACCAGCCUUGUAAGUAAUUGGGAAUCUGAAAUUAAGAAAUGGGUCGGAGAUAGACUUCAACUUAUUGCUCUUUGUGAGAGCACCAGGGAUGAUGUUGUUUCUGGAUUAGACAGUUUCAUUAGACCGCACAGUCCAUAUCAGGUGCUAAUUGUUUCCUAUGAGACAUUCCGAAUGCAUUCGUCAAAAUUUGACAAAAGUGGAUCCUGUGACCGCACAGUCCAGACACUAACAAAUCGGGCAUUAGCUGGUCUUUCAUGCAACCGACGCAUAUUAUUGUCAGGACCCCCGAUGCAGGUAAUAGUCCUUAAUCUAUGUCUCUCUGAUAACAUAGUUUUACCUAUGUUGAUUUGUUUAUUAAUGGCAGAAUAUCUGGAAGAGUUCUUUGCGAUGGUUAAUUUUACCAAUCCAGGAAUCUUGGGGGAUGCUGCAUAUUUUCGACGAUACUAUGAGUUACCGAUCAUUUCUGGAAGAGAACCUACAUCAACAGAAGAAGAGAGAAAUCUUAGCGUUGAGCGAUCUGCUGAAUUAAGCACAAAAGUAAAUCAGUUUAUUUUGAGGAGGACCAAUGCUUUGCUAUCAAAUCAUCUACCACCAAAGAUAGUUGAAGUUGUCUGUUGCAAGUUGAGUCCUCUUCAGUCAGAGUUAUAUAACCAUUUUAUACAUUCCAAAAAUGUCAAGCGAGCAAUAUCUGAAGAGGCGAAACAAUCAAAAUUUUUGGCAUAUAUCACUGCUUUGAAAAAGCUUUGCAAUCAUCCUAAGCUUAUCUAUAAUACGAUCAAAAGUGGGUCAGGAACGUCGGGAUUUGAGGAUUGCAUUUGCUUUUUUCCUCCUGCAAUGUUUUUUGGAAGAUGUGGAGCAUGGACUGGUGGUGAUGGGGUUUGGGUUGAACUUUCUGGGAAGAUGCAUGUUUUAGCUCGGUUGCUGGCCCAAUUGCGUAGCAAAACUGAUGACCGUAUUGUUCUUGUUUCCAACUAUACUCGGCAAGAAAUCAGGUGGGCAGAAGUUAGCUUCUUAUGGGCCUCCUUAGAGAUGAUUCACUAAUUUUGGUUUACUCACCAUGGAAUCAUCCGCACCGGAGUUCCCAAUCUACAAAAAGCUGGGUGUUUAUGAACCUCCUAUUUCCAUAUAUGUGGUGGCCGUUAAAUCUUCAAUUUGGUUUUAGUUAUAAUCGGCGUUUGUAGAGCAUUGCAUGAAGUAGAGAGGAGUUAAAGACAAGACAUACUUGAAGAGCCCUCAUCCGCUGGUUUUGGUAGGUUAUUGAUUUGUUGGUUGCUUCGACGGCUUCUUUUUGAAGGAAUUUUAGAAAAACAUUUUUCCGAAACUCCAUUGGCAGAAGUAUCCAUAUUUGUUAAAGACAUACUUGAAGAAUCCUCAUUAGCUGAUUUUGAUAAAAGAUGCCUACGUACUCAAGUUUUUCGAAGAUGGCUUGAGCCGCCUGCCAACAUGGUGCAACAACGGGGACAAUGUGAAGCUUCCUUCCUGUCAAAUUAAAUGCAAGUACAGAAUGGAACUACCUG